rnacentral:lncRNA from 1 species
CACAAUCCUCAACAUUCUUAAUUAAAAAUCAAUAAAUCCUUAGAUGCAAAUCUAAUGCAUGAGGUUCCAAAUUUUCUGGUGUCAAAGUUAUAUUUUAUCGAACAAUCCCUCACCGUCACUGAGCUAAAACUCUAAUCAACGUCACUGAGCCGAAGCUCUAAUCUACGUCACUCAGCCAAAACUCUAAUCAACGUCAUUGAGCCGAAGCUCUAAUCUACGUCACCGAGCCGAAGCUCUAAUCAACGUCACUGAGCCGAAGCUCUAAUCAACGUCACUGAUCAGCCGAAGCUCUAAUCUACGUCACUGAGUUGAAACUCUAAUCAACGUCACUGAGCCGAAGCUCUAAUCUACGUCACUGAGCCGAAGCUCUAAUUAGUCUCAUUCAUAC